rnacentral:tRNA from 1 species
UUAAUUGAAACCAAUAUUGAGGUUAGUUACUGUUAAUAACUACAAAGAAAAUCUAAUUUUCCAAUUAAA